rnacentral:rRNA from 1 species
AGUGAACGCUGGCGGCAGGCCUAAUACAUGCAAGUCGAACGGCAGCACAGCAGAGCUUGCUCUGUGGGAGGCGAGUGGCGGACGGGUGAGGAAUACAUGGGAAUCUGCCCAGUCGUGGGGGAUAACGUAGGGAAACUUACGCUAAUACCGCAUGCGCCCUUCGGGGGAAAGCCGGGGACCUUCGGGCCUGGCGCGAUUGGAUGAGCCCAUGUCGGAUUAGCUAGUUGGCGGGGUAAAGGCCCACCAAGGCGACGAUCCGUAGCUGGUCUGAGAGGAUGAUCAGCCACACUGGAACUGAGACACGGUCCAGACUCCUACGGGAGGCAGCAGUAGGGAAUAUUGGACAAUGGGCGCAAGCCUGAUCCAGCCAUGCCGCGUGAGUGAAGAAGGCCCUCGGGUUGUAAAGCUCUUUUGUCCGGAAAGAAAGCUUUGGGUUAAUACCCGAAGUCCUGACGGUACCGGAAGAAUAAGCACCGGCUAACUUCGUGCCAGCAGGCCGCGGUAAC